CUAACACAUGCAAGUCGAAUGGUAGCACAGAGAGCUUGCUCUCAGGUGACGAGUGGCAGAUGGGUGAGUAAUGUCUGGGAAACUGCCUGAUGGAGGGGGACAAGUACUGGAAACGGUAGCUAAUACCGCAUAACGUGGCAAGACCAAAGAGGGGGACCUUCGGGCCUCUUGCCAUCAGAUGUGCCCAGAUGGGAUUAGCUAGUCGGUGGGGUAACGGCUCACCUAGGAGACGAUCCCUAGCUGGUCUGAGAGGAUGACCAGCCACACUGGAACUGAGACACGGUCCAGACUCCUACGGGAGGCAGCAGUGGGGAAUAUUGCACAAUGGGCGCAAGCCUGAUGCAGCCAUGCCGCGUGUAUGAAGAAGGCCUUCGGGUUGUAAAGUACUUUCAGCGGGGAGGAAGGUGUUGUGGUUAAUAACCACAGCAAUUGACGUUACCCGCAGAAGAAGCACCGGCUAACUCCGUGCCAGCAGCCGCGGUAAUACGGAGGGUGCAAGCGUUAAUCGGAAUUACUGGGCGUAAAGCGCACGCAGGCGGUCUGUCAAGUCGGAUGUGAAAUCCCCGGGCUCAACCUGGGAACUGCAUUCGAAACUGGCAGGCUGGAGUCUUGUAGAGGGGGGUAGAAUUCCAGGUGUAGCGGUGAAAUGCGUAGAGAUCUGGAGGAAUACCGGUGGCGAAGGCGGCCCCCUGGACAAAGACUGACGCUCAGGUGCGAAAGCGUGGGGAGCAAACAGGAUUAGAUACCCUGGUAGUCCACGCCGUAAACGAUGUCGAUUUGGAGGUUGUGGCCCUUGGAGGCGUGGCUUCCGGAGCUAACCGCGUUAAAUCGACCGCCUGGGGAGUACGGCCGCAAGGUUAAAACUCAAAUGAAUUGACGGGGGCCCGCACAAGCGGUGGAGCAUGUGGUUUAAUUCGAUGCAACGCGAAGAACCUUACCUGGUCUUGACAUCCACAGAACUUUCCAGAGAUGGAUUGGUGCCUUCGGGAACUGUGAGACAGGUGCUGCAUGGCUGUCGUCAGCUCGUGUUGUGAAAUGUUGGGUUAAGUCCCGCAACGAGCGCAACCCUUAUCCUUUGUUGCCAGCGGUUAGGCCGGGAACUCAAAGGAGACUGCCAGUGAUAAACUGGAGGAAGGUGGGGAUGACGUCUAGUCAUCAUGGCCCUUACUACCAGGGCUACACACGUGCUACAAUGUCGCAUACUUUGAUAACCGACCUCGCGAGAGCAAGC
rnacentral:rRNA from 1 species